GACGAACGCUGGCGGCGUGCUUAUCACAUGCAAGUCGAACGGAAAGGCCCUGCUUUUGUGGGGUGCUCUAGUGGCGAACGGGUGAGCAACACGUGAGUAACCUGCCCCUGACUUUGGGAUAACAUCUGGCAACUCGGGCUCUUACCGUAUAGGUGCUCCUGCUGCAGGGUGGGGGUUGGAGAGUUUCGGCGGUGGGGGAUGGUCGCGCGUCUUAUCAGCUUGUUGGUGGGGGAGUGGCUUACCAAGGCCUUGACGGGUAGCCGGCCUGAUAGGGUGACCGGCCACAGUGGGACUGAGAUACGGGCCAGACUCCUACGGUAGGCAUCAGUGGGGAACAUUGCACAAUGGGCGGAAGCCUGAUGCAGCAACGCCCCGUGCGGGAUUACGGCCUUCUGGUUGUAAACCGCUAUCGCCUGUGACGAAGCGUGAGUGACGGUAAUGGGUAAAGAAGCCCCGGCUAACUACGUG
rnacentral:rRNA from 1 species